UACGUAGGCAGCAAGCGUUGUUCGGAGUUACUGGGCGUAAAGGGUGCGUAGGCGGCUUUUUAAGUUUGGUGUGAAAUCUCCCGGCUCAACUGGGAGGGUGCGCCGAAUACUGAGAGGCUAGAGUGUGGGAGAGGAAAGUGGAAUUCCUGGUGUAGCGGUGAAAUGCGUAGAUAUCAGGAGGAACACCGGUGGUGUAAACGGCUUUCUGGACCAUAACUGACGCUGAUGCACGAAAAGCUAGGGGGAGCAAACAGG
rnacentral:rRNA from 1 species